AGUUGCACGACGCGUAUAUGAUAAACAACGUGCUACGCAGUAGUAAGCGCACUUUCUCAGUUGCUAUGCCAAAAAGCAAGAAGCGCAUGCUUGAGUCCCAGAUCAGAUCGCAAGGUGUGCUGUGGCCUUUAAGUGGCUUUGAAAUGAUUGUAUGUAGCACCCUAGGUAGUUUUUAAAAGCAGAAGGCUAAUUUAAACAAUUAUAGGUAUUGGUUUCACAGGGGCAUUUCAUACUCUGGUGCAUUCAACUGUAUGAAGAGCUGUUUGAUAUUAUGGACUAUUUCAUUAAUCAAUUUCCAAUUGUUUGAAAUCA